rnacentral:misc_RNA from 1 species
AAGUCGUAACAAGGUUUCCGUAGGUGAACCUGCGGAAGGAUCAUUACCAAUCUUAGCGGGCCUGGUCUUGUUGACUAUGGUUUCGCGAAAAUCGUAUUUAAAACCCCACUCUUAUAUAAGAUGAAUCAUUAUAUUUGUAAAAAUAAAUAAAGAUCACUUUCAACAACGGAUCUCUUGGCUCUC